GCAGGCCCGGCUGGGGCGCUCGCCCUCCCCCUCUCUUUCUCCAUCCCCUCCCCUCCCCCACGCUCACGUGCUCCUGACCCCAAAGCGAGCGACGAUUGCCCAGCAGGUCACUGUGAAGUUGGGACACGUGAGUUGGCAGAGAUGAACUCUUUUUGCAGUGCACACCAACCCAGAGACGGCUAAACGAGCAUUCCCGAAGACCUGCACUCGGCUGACCAGGAGAGAAGAGCUUAUGAACUGGAUGAAAAGUCCACUGAAAUGGGAAGAAAUUAAACAGAGAGAAGAAAAGAAAAGAGGAAACUUUGUAGGACUGCUGUAAAAGAGAAAAGUGUACCACUGACGUAUAAGAAAUAUGGAACUUGGGGAAUAUGUGAAGCAGAAAGGACCAAAUGGAAGCAAAAACCUAUCGGACUUGAAUAGCAGAUUCCACAUAUAGUAGAAGAAAGAC